rnacentral:tRNA from 1 species
GGAGAGAUCGCAUAGUGGCCUAGUGCACACGCUUGGAAAGCGUGCAUACCGCAAGGUAUCGCGAGUUCGAAUCUCGCUCUCUCCG